rnacentral:rRNA from 1 species
UACGAAGGGGGCUAGCGUUGUUCGGAAUUACUGGGCGUAAAGCGCGCGCAGGCGGCUGCUCAAGUCAGGGGUGAAAGCCCAGAGCUCAACUCUGGAAUUGCCUUUGAGACUGAGAGGCUUGAGUACGGGAGAGGUGAGUGGAAUUCCUAGUGUAGAGGUGAAAUUCGUAGAUAUUAGGAAGAACACCAGUGGCGAAGGCGGCUCACUGGCCCGGUACUGACGCUGAGGCGCGAAAGCGUGGGGAGCAAACAGG